AUUGAACGCUGGCGGCAGGCUUAACACAUGCAAGUCGAGCGGAGUGAUGGUGCUUGCACUAUCACUUAGCGGCGGACGGGUGAGUAAUGCUUAGGAAUCUGCCUAUAGUGGGGGACAACAUCUCGAAAGGGAUGCUAAUACCGCAUACGUCCUACGGGAGAAAGCAGGGGAUAACUUGUGACCAUGCGCUCAUAGAUGAGCCUAAGUCGGAUUAGCUAGUUGGUGGGGUAAAGGCCUACCAAGGCGACGAGCUGUAGCGGGUCCGAGAGGAUGAUCCGCCACACUGGGACUGAGACACGGCCCAGACUCCUACGGGAGGCAGCAGUGGGGAAUAUUGGACAAUGGGGGGAACCCUGGUCCAGCCAUGCCGCGUGUGUGAAGGAGGCCUUAUGGUUGUAAAGCACUUUAAGCGAGGAGGAGGCUCUUUUGGUUAAUACCCAAGAUGAGUGGACGUUACUCGCAGAAUAAGCACCGGCUAACUCUGUGCCAGCCGCCGCCGUAA
rnacentral:rRNA from 1 species